UCCGACGAUCAAAUCACCCUAAAUGUGCCCGAUCUCAUCAGAUCUUGGAAUAUAAGCAAGGUAUAGCUUGCUUAGUACUUGGAUCGGUGGCUGUCAGGGCUUGCCAGAUGUUAUAGGCU
rnacentral:rRNA from 1 species